GUGAACGCUGGCGGUAGGCCUAACACAUGCAAGUCGAACGGCAGCACAGGAGAGCUUGCUCUCUGGGUGGCGAGUGGCGGACGGGUGAGGAAUACAUCGGAAUCUACCUUUUCGUGGGGGAUAACGUAGGGAAACUUACGCUAAUACCGCAUAAGACCUUCGGGUGAAAGCCGGGGACCUUCGGGCCUGGCGCGGAUAGAUGAGCCGAUGUCGGAUUAGCUUGUUGGCGGGGUAAAAGCCCACCAAGGCGACGAUCCGUAGCUG
rnacentral:rRNA from 2 species